GAAGACGCCCUACUAUAUUUCUCUUCCUUUCCAGCACAGACACACAGCCUUUGCAAAACAGACUACAAUCAUUUUUCUGGAGCUCAAGUCACCCUUUGUAGGGCAGUCCACGGAGGAGCAGUCAGAGUCAGAAGCUCUUUAUUAAUAAGGAAGAGCUAGGAUGCUACUCGUGACAGUGCUAAUCUCAUGGAUGCAAUUUUCAGAAAUGAGAGGACAACAGAUAAAGCAAAUUCCUCGAUUCUGGCAUGUCUGGGAAGGAGAGAACUUCACUGCGUACUGCAAUUCUUCAGGCACAUUAAACAGCUUACAGUGGUACAAGCAGAAGCCUGGGGGACGCCCAGUCCUCUUGGUGAGACUAAUGACGGGUGGAGAAGUGAAGGAGCAGGACAGACUGAUCACCCGAUUUGGAGAAAGAAGACAGGACGGCUCCCUGCACAUCACAGCCACCCGGGGAACUGACGUAGGAACCUAUUUCUGUGCAGCGACACAGUGCUCCCCAAGCACCAGCUGCCUGUACCCAAACCUCGCCCUGAGAAUCCACAAAGAGCGUCUCAUCCCUAGUGUAGCUCAGAAGCUGGAGAAAGCUAAAGUCACACUGUCAGCAAAGAGACGGUGCACCUCCUCCUCAUGGCAAUAGGGAUGCGUGUAGAAAUUCACGCAACGAGACACGAUAAUUUAAUUCCUAAUAUGCAGCUAUUGGUUUUCUUCUACACAGAUUUUUCGGGAAAUUCCAAUUAAUCCAGGAAGAAUCAGUGGAUUCUGAGGGCAUCUUUCAGUGAUGCCACAGAUCCCCAAGCAGCUUCUUUCAGAUUUCAACUCUACAGGAAAUGUUAAAAUGUUUCUCCUUAAAGAAAUCAUAAAGAUACUGUCACUAAAAGAUUGAAGGGGUAGGUACGUUUAACCUGAUUUAAGCAUUAUUUAGUGUGUAAAUCAAGUGUGUAUCAAAGAUUAUUUGGAGUUUCAUUGAUAUAUACUACUUCCAUGUUUGUAUGUAUGUUUUAUUCUUAAAAUAAAAAAAAGAUUAUAGCUCGCCUGAGAUGGAAUGGUCUCCUAAGCAGCCAGCUCCUUUCUCACCACUCCUUCCCUGAGGUCCUGAUGUGGUGUCUCUCAUGGCCAUUCUCUCCUGGAAGCUGCUUGUCUUACUGGUGCUCCCUGGCCAUUUUAAUAUUUAGGCAAAUAAUUAUCAUGAUGUUAAUUUUGCUUCACUUUGUAUAUUAAAGUGAGCCAUGCAGUUAGACUACAAUAAGUUUGGUAGGGAACUACAGGAGGGUGUGAGUGUCACUGGGGCCCUUUGGAUACUUUCUGAAACAAGUAUUAGAGCACACACACUCCCUGUGCCAGGCAGACACUAGAGGUCAUUUACAACUGAAUGACCAAGUAAAGCUUUUGCAUUUUUUUUCAUGAACUAUUUUUAGUUUUGGAAGCAAUUAUGAGGAAAAUAUGAUAAUACUGGUACUAGUACAAUAUACUAAAAUAACGAAGACAAAACUUUACUAAAUUACUUGUAAGAUUGUAUGAACUGUCAUAUACUACAUAAGGAAAAACAUUCAUACUAAACUACUUGUAAAACUAAAUA